rnacentral:rRNA from 1 species
GACGAACGCUGGCGGCGUGCUUAACACAUGCAAGUCGAACGGAAAGGCCCUGCUUUUGUGGGGUGCUCGAGUGGCGAACGGGUGAGUAACACGUGAGUAACCUGCCCUUGACUUUGGGAUAACUUCAGGAAACUGGGGCUAAUACCGGAUAGGAGCUCCUGCUGCAUGGUGGGGGUUGGAAAGUUUCGGCGGUUGGGGAUGGACUCGCGGCUUAUCAGCUUGUUGGUGGGGUAGUGGCUUACCAAGGCUUUGACGGGUAGCCGGCCUGAGAGGGGGACCGGCCACAUGGGGACUGAGAGACGGCGCAGACUCCUACGGGAGGCAGCAGUGGGGAAUAUUGCACAAUGGGCGGAAGCCUGAUGCAGCAACGCCGCGUGCGGGAUGACGGCCUUCGGGUUGUAAACCGCUUUCGCCUGUGACGAAGCGUGAGUGACGGUAAUGGGUAAAGAAGCACCGGCUAACUACGUG